UCUUUAUUCUUCUCCGUUCUUUCUCUUCUCUUCUUUGUCAAUUUCAGUUCAGAAGAACUGAGUUCUUUUAUGUGUGAGUUUUCCAUAGAGAGUUAGAUAGCAUGAUGAAUGAAUGAAGAUGAGAUUAGAACUGAGAUUGUUGGAGUUCCAGGAGAAGAAGAAGGUGAUAUUGAUGUUAAAUUCAAGUUAGGGUUUUCUGAAGUAGGGUUUGUGUAGAACCGGUGAGAAUAUAGUGUUAUUAAUGGAUGAAGAUAAGAGGGGUUUCUCUUGAUUUGAUGAGAUGACGCUAUUCUGAUGCUGAAUCGAAAUCAGGACAUGGCGGGAUAGUGGUGUUGAACUGGUGGAGGUGAUAAUUGGAGGUGAUGAUUGUGUUGAUGCUGAAAUAGUUAAGCUGGAGUUGUAAUUGUUGUUCAAUUGGUAACAGUGGUGGUGGUUCUGUAGUUGUUGGUGGUUGUGUAUGGAGAUGGAGGUAUAAGAAUUGAACUGGUGGUGCAGAAUCUUAAACUGAGGUUGAAUGUAUGAGCAUACAACUAUGUUUUGCUCAACUGAUAAUGAGCCUUAAUGUGGUGGUGUUGUCAUUGGUGGAUGAUUUCAGGUGGAAGUUGUACGUGAAGUUGUUUAAGCGUGAUGAAACUGCCAUGGUGAAGACAUAGGUUUAUAGUUACUGUGGUGGUGACUUGGUGGUGGUGAACAUUGUGGGCCACCUGUAUUGGAAAUGUUAUUGCAGGUUAGAUGUUCAGAUUAUGAUUAGUAUACAUACAGUUUAUGGAAGAGACUUUAAUGAAGAAACUGAACUGAAUUGGAUGAAUAAAAUAUUGUAAUUAAGAUGGUUGUUUGAGCUGAGACAAUUUAGAAUUGGAGCUAGAGUUAGUUUUGAUAUUGGUGUCAGGGAACUGUUCUGUUUGUAGAAUUGAACAAGGGAUUGGUGUUGGUGAAUUGAAGUGUUGGAUGUGGUUAUAGGUUAGGAGGUGUUGGAGUAUGUGGCUGAGAAGUUAAUGACAACAGUAUAGGGAAUGAAGUUAUAGCUAUAGAUUAGAUUUAUAUUUGAAGAUUGUAGUUAGAAUAAUGUACAUUUCAGUUAAGAAGUUUUACUAUUAAAAUUGUAUUGUUGGAAUUGUUGUUAGUGAUAACAUUUGUAUGAAUUAUUGUAUCUUGAAGUUUA